rnacentral:misc_RNA from 1 species
GCCGGCAGGCGGCGUCGUCGUCCUCGCGCGGGACGCGCGCCGUCGCCACCAUGGCGAAGAAGAGCGUCGGGGACCUCACCGCCGCCGACCUCGAGGGGAAGCGCGUGUUCGUGCGCGCCGACCUCAACGUCCCGCUCGACGACAACCAGAACAUCACCGACGACACCCGUGUCCGCGCCGCCAUCCCCACCAUCCAGUACCUUAUCAAGAACGGUGCCAAGGUCAUCCUCUCCAGCCACCUGGGUCGCCCAAAGGGUGUUACUCCCAAGUUUAGCUUGGCUCCCCUUGUACCGCGAUUGUCUGAACUUCUCGGCAUACAGGUGACUAAGGCAGAAGAUGUUAUUGGACCAGAUGUUGAGAAAUUGGUAUCUGAAUUGCCAAAUGGUAGUGUUUUGCUCCUUGAAAAUGUUAGAUUUUACAAGGAAGAGGAGAAGAAUG